rnacentral:misc_RNA from 1 species
AACUGAUACUACCUGCGGGAACCUGCGGAGGGAUCAUUACAAGUGACCCCGGUUUACCACCGGGAUGUUCAUAACCCUUUGUUGUCCGACUCUGUUGCCUCCGGGGCGACCCUGCCUUCGGGCGGGGGCUCCGGGUGGACACUUCAAACUCUUGCGUAACUUUGCAGUCUGAGUAAACUUAAUUAAUAAAUUAAAACUUUCAACAACGGAUCUCU